UUACGCCCACAUCACGUUGAAACAUCGGUUCCCGUAUGGUCAUCGAAGUUAAGCAACAUCGAGCCUGGUCAGUAGCUAGAUGGGUGAUCGCUUGGGAAUACCGGGUGCUGUAAA